rnacentral:lncRNA from 1 species
GAGUACCAUACACCAAAAUUUAUUUAAUCCAAAAAUCCAAAAUCAUCCAUUAAUAACAUAAAGUUACAAAAUUCUACUUCUACACUAAAAUCAUCAUACUAUAAUAAUAGAGUACCAUACACCUAAUAGCAUAAAUUAUACUUGUAUAUACUAAAAUCAUUCCAUAAUAGUAGAGUUAAUAUCAUAUACCUAGAAUCAUCAAUUAUAAACCAUAAAGUUACAAAUUUAUACUUGUAACCUCGAUUCCUUCUAUUUGUAUGCUUAACUUUGUCUCCNNNNN